CAGCCGCGUAAUUCCAGCUCCAAUAGCGUAUAUUAAAGUUGUUGCAGUUAAAAAGCUCGUAGUUGAAUUUCGGGAUUGACACAUCGGUCGUGCCUUAAGGGGUAUGAACUGGUGUAGUCAAUUUCUCACCUUCUGGAGAACCGCGAUGCCCUUAAUUGGGUGCCGCGGGGAACCAGGACCUUUACUUUGAAAAAAUUAGAGUGUUUAAAGCAGGCAUUUUGCUUGAAUACAUUAGCAUGGAAUAAUAAAAUAGGACGGCAUGAUUCUAUUUUGUUGGUUUCUAGGAUCACCGUAAUGAUUAAUAGGGAUAGUUGGGGGCAUUAGUAUUCAAUUGUCAGAGGUGAAAUUCUUGGAUUUAUUGAAGACUAACUACUGCGAAAGCAUUUGCCAAGGAUGUUUUCAUUAAUCAAGAACGAAAGUUAGGGGAUCGAAGACGAUCAGAUACCGUCGUAGUCUUAACCAUAAACUAUGCCGACUAGGAAUCAGACGAUGUUAAUUUUUUAAUGACUCGUUUGGCACCUUACA
rnacentral:misc_RNA from 1 species